UGACUGCGUACCUUUUGUAUAAUGGGUCAGCGACUUAUAUUCUGUAGCAAGGUUAACCGUAUAGGGGAGCCGUAGGGAAACCGAGUCUUAACCGGGCGUUAAGUUGCAGGGUAUAGACCCGAAACCCGGUGAUCUAGCCAUGGGCAGGUUGAAGGUUGGGUAACACUAACUGGAGGACCGAACCGACUAAUGUUGAAAAAUUAGCGGAUGACCUGUGGCUGGGGGUGAAAGGCCAAUCAAACCGGGAGAUAGCUGGUUCUCCCCGAAAGCUAUUUAGGUAGCGCCUCGUGAAUUCAUCUCCGGGGGUAGAGCACUGUUUCGGCUAGGGGGCCAUCCCGGCUUACCAACCCGAUGCAAACUGCGAAUACCGGAGAAUGUUAUCACGGGAGACACACGGCGGGUGCUAACGUCCGUCGUGAAGAGGGAAACAACCCAGACCGCCAGCUAAGGUCCCAAAGUCAUGGUUAAGUGGGAAACGAUGUGGGAAGGCCCAGACAGCCAGGAUGUUGGCUUAGAAGCAGCCAUCAUUUAAAGAAAGCGUAAUAGCUCACUGGUCGAGUCGGCCUGCGCGGAAGAUGUAACGGGGCUAAACCAUGCACCGAAGCUGCGGCAGCGACGCUGAUGCGUUGUUGGGUAGGGGAGCGUUCUGUAAGCCUGUGAAGGUGGCCUGUGAGGGUUGCUGGAGGUAUCAGAAGUGCGAAUGCUGACAUAAGUAACGAUAAAGCGGGUGAAAAGCCCGCUCGCCGGAAGACCAAGGGUUCCUGUCCAACGUUAAUCGGGGCAGGGUGAGUCGACCCCUAAGGCGAGGCCGAAAGGCGUAGUCGAUGGGAAACGGGUUAAUAUUCCCGUACUUGGUGUUACUGCGAAGGGGGGACGGAGAAGGCUAUGUUGGCCGGGCGACGGUUGUCCCGGUUUAAGCGUGUAGGUGUGUGUUCCAGGUAAAUCCGGUUCACUUUAACACUGAGGCGUGAUGACGAGGCACUACGGUGCUGAAGCAACAAAUGCCCUGCUUCCAGGAAAAGCCUCUAAGCAUCAGGUAACAUCAAAUCGUACCCCAAACCGACACAGGUGGUCAGGUAGAGAAUACCAAGGCGCUUGAGAGAACUCGGGUGAAGGAACUAGGCAAAAUGGUGCCGUAACUUCGGGAGAAGGCACGCUGACACGUAGGUGAAGUGAUUUACUCAUGGAGCUGAAGUCAGUCGAAGAUACCAGCUGGCUGCAACUGUUUAUUAAAAACACAGCACUGUGCAAACACGAAAGUGGACGUAUACGGUGUGACGCCUGCCCGGUGCCGGAAGGUUAAUUGAUGGGGUCAGCGCAAGCGAAGCUCCUGAUCGAAGCCCCGGUAAACGGCGGCCGUAACUAUAACGGUCCUAAGGUAGCGAAAUUCCUUGUCGGGUAAGUUCCGACCUGCACGAAUGGCGUAAUGAUGGCCAGGCUGUCUCCACCCGAGACUCAGUGAAAUUGAACUCGCUGUGAAGAUGCAGUGUACCCGCGGCAAGACGGAAAGACCCCGUGAACCUUUACUAUAGCUUGACACUGAACAUUGAGCCUUGAUGUGUAGGAUAGGUGGGAGGCUUUGAAGCGUGGACGCCAGUCUGCAUGGAGCCGGCCUUGAAAUACCACCCUUUAAUGUUUGAUGUUCUAACGUGGACCCGUGAUCCGGGUUGCGGACAGUGUCUGGUGGGUAGUUUGACUGGGGCGGUCUCCUCCUAAAGAGUAACGGAGGAGCACGAAGGUUGGCUAAUCCUGGUCGGACAUCAGGAGGUUAGUGCAAUGGCAUAAGCCAGCUUGACUGCGAGCGUGACGGCGCGAGCAGGUGCGAAAGCAGGUCAUAGUGAUCCGGUGGUUCUGAAUGGAAGGGCCAUCGCUCAACGGAUAAAAGGUACUCCGGGGAUAACAGGCUGAUACCGCCCAAGAGUUCAUAUCGACGGCGGUGUUUGGCACCUCGAUGUCGGCUCAUCACAUCCUGGGGCUGAAGUAGGUCCCAAGGGUAUGGCUGUUCGCCAUUUAAAGUGGUACGCGAGCUGGGUUUAGAACGUCGUGAGACAGUUCGGUCCCUAUCUGCCGUGGGCGCUGGAGAACUGAGGGGGGCUGCUCCUAGUACGAGAGGACCGGAGUGGACGCAUCACUGGUGUUCGGGUUGUCAUGCCAAUGGCACUGCCCGGUAGCUAAAUGCGGAAGAGAUAAGUGCUGAAAGCAUCUAAGCACGAAACUUGCCCCGAGAUGAGUUCU
rnacentral:rRNA from 2 species